rnacentral:rRNA from 1 species
CCUACGGGUGGCAGCAGUGGGGAAUAUUGCACAAUGGGGGAAACCCUGAUGCAGCGACGCCGCGUGAGUGAAGAAGUAUCUCGGUACGUAAAGCUCUAUCAGCAGGGAAGAAAAUGACGGUACCUGACUAAGAAGCCCCGGCUAACUACGUGCCAGCAGCCGCGGUAAUACGUAGGGGGCAAGCGUUAUCCGGAUUUACUGGGUGUAAAGGGAGCGUAGACGGCCUCACAAGUCUGGAGUGAAAUCCCGGGGCUUAACCCGGGAACUGCUUUGGAAACUGUGCGGCUGGAGUGCAGAAGGGGUAAGCGGAAUUCAUAGUGUAGCGGUGAAAUGCUUAGAUAUUAGGAGGAACACCGGUGGCGAAGGCGAGUGACUGGACUGUAACUGACGUUGAGGCUCGAAAGCGUGGGGAGCAAACAGGAUUAGAUACCCCGGUAGUC